AACGAACGCUGGCGGCGUGCCUAACACAUGCAAGUCGAACGAGAAAGCUUGGGCAACUGAGUAAGUAAAGUGGCGCACGGGUGAGUAACGCGUGGGUAAUCUGCCCUUGAGUUGGGGAUAACUCCGCGAAAGCGGGGCUAAUACCGAAUAAUAUUAUGAGGUCUUCGGACCUUAUAAUCAAAGAUGGCCUCUGCUUGCAAGCUAUCGCUUAAGGAUGGGCCCGCGUACCAUUAGCUAGUUGGUAGGGUAAAGGCCUACCAAGGCAACGAUGGUUAGCUGGUCUGAGAGGAUGACCAGCCACACUGGAACUGAGACACGGUCCAGACUCCUACGGGAGGCAGCAGUGGGGAAUCUUGCGCAAUGGGGGAAACCCUGACGCAGCAACGCCGCGUGGGUGAUGGAGGCCUUCGGGUCGUAAAGCCCUGUCAGGUGGAAAGAAACAUGCUGAUGCCAAUACCAUCAGCACUUGACGGUACCACCGGAGGAAGCACCGGCUAACUCCGUGCCAGCAGCCGCAGUAAUAC
rnacentral:rRNA from 1 species